rnacentral:sRNA from 1 species
GAUUUGAUCGAGGAGCGCGGUUACCGGACGGGCUGGGUCUAUGGUCGCUCCGCGGGCCGCUCCGCCGGCUGGUGCUUUUUUAUCAGGGCAAGCUGUGUUCCAUGGCAGGGAACUUUUGGCAGAGCUCCCACUAUUUGCAAUGGAUUUUGGAUAAACAAGAUCUGUUGAAGGAGCGCCAAAAGGAUUUAAAGUUUCUCUCAGAGGAAGAAUAUUGGAAGUUACAAAUAUUUUUUACAAAUGUUAUCCAAGCAUUAGGUGAACAUCUUAAAUUAAGACAACAAGUUAUUGCCACUGCUACGGUAUAUUUCAAGAGAUUCUAUGCCAGGUAUUCUCUGAAAAGUAUAGAUCCUGUAUUAAUGGCUCCUACAUGUGUGUUUUUGGCAUCCAAAGUAGAGGAAUUUGGAGUAGUUUCAAAUACAAGAUUGAUUGCUGCUGCUACUUCUGUAUUAAAAACUAGAUUUUCAUAUGCCUUUCCAAAGGAAUUUCCUUAUAGGAUGAAUCAUAUAUUAGAAUGUGAAUUCUAUCUUUUAGAACUAAUGGCUAAUAAGAGGUUUCAGUGUGUUGCAGAUGUGACACUUU